AUGUGGUAUGCUAACCUUAAUUGCAAGUUCAUGAUUUCCUUCAUACCUGUUCUGUUUUGACGGUUUUUGCGAUGUUUUUGAUAUGACAAAUUUGGAUUCCAGCUGCUACAGUGAAGGUUGUAUCCUUUUCUUUUUCACUUUCUAUUUUAACUCAUUUUAUUUUGCAUAAUGCCCUGUUUGGAUUUAAGAAUUUCAUUUGAAAUUCUGGACUUGGUGCAAAUCCCUUGUUUGAAUGAUAAAGAAUUUAGAACCUGGAAUUACACCAGGCUACUUUCACUCCACCUUUACUUCUAUAUUUUAUUACACGUGUUGCAGUAGCUUAAGUCUUAUUAUCUUUCACUUCUAUCCUUUCUCUCUCCUGUGAUGCUCCUCAUCUCUCUUUCCACCAUAAUCAUCAAAGAGAUGCAAGAUUUUAAUCACUGUUUAACAUGCCUUAUUAUUCUUCUGGCAUCAUCACUUGUUGCGUGGUAAUGCAUAUUAUACUACUUGCUUUUUCCUCACUAAAAUUUUCCCCAUUUUUUUGAUCGGCGAUUGAAGAUGCGAAAACCUUGGUCUUUUUGUUCAAUGCUACAGUAUGUUGUGCUCACACAUUUUUGUUUCUUUUUUUCGGUUAUAUUUGUUUCCAUUGUUAAUUAUUGAAAGAACUUUCUAAUUUCUGUUGUAGCUGCUACAGUGAAAUGAAGAUCUUAUGGGGUUUGAAGAUUAUGUUUUGGGUAAUGUUUAGGGUGAUGUUGUUGCUAUAUUUAGAGUCAAAUUAUAGUAGGACUUUUGUGGAUUUAUAAGGUGACUUCAAUGAUUUGAUUGUUUUGGUUUUUUGUAGGUGUUUUGUUCUAACAGGAAUAUUGGCAGUUAACAUGAUUUUUUGGAAGAUGUAUAACAGUUUGGAAAAUGUACAACAGUUGCAGCUUUUGGAGAUCUUUUAUGCACAGAGUUUUGGGAACAGAUUGCCAGACAUGAUGCAUUGACUAUUUGGCUUAAAUUACGAUUCAGUUAGGCUUCGAUUUUGCUAUUGUCAUAGUUGGUCAGGCUUAGUUUUUUGUAAGUAGGGGUCGCUCGCACAUGAUAGGCCUAUCCAUUGUGAACCCUUCCUAUAAGGUGUCACCUGAGAAAGGCGUUUAUGCAUAUUAUGCUUUCUUGCCAGGACUGGUUAUGUUAAAACCUUUUAGGUUAUUAUGUUUGGGGGAUGGGAAUUAUUGUUGGCCAUCUUUGGAUAAUAUUUUGGAUUGUGUACAGUUGUCACGAUCAUAUAAAUAAAUAUAUCUUUCUUGAAUAAA